rnacentral:rRNA from 1 species
UACGUAGGGGGCUAGCGUUGUCCGGAAUCAUUGGGCGUAAAGCGCGUGUAGGCGGCUCGGUAAGUCCGCUCUGAAAGCCCGGGGCUCAACCCCGGGAGGCGGGUGGAUACUGUCGAGCUCGAGUCCGGAAGAGGCAAGUGGAAUUCCCGGUGUAGCGGUGAAAUGCGUAGAUAUGUGGAGGAACACCGAUGGCGAAGGCAGCCCCCUGGGUUAACACUGACGCUCAUGCACGAAAGCGUGGGGAGCAAACAGG